AUUGAACGCUGGCGGCAGGCCUAACACAUGCAAGUCGAGCGGAUGAAGGGAGCUUGCUCCUGGCUUCAGCGGCGGACGGGUGAGUAAUGCCUAGGAAUCUGCCUGGUAGUGGGGGAUAACGUCCGGAAACGGGCGCUAAUACCGCAUACGUCCUGAGGGAGAAAGUGGGGGAUCUUCGGACCUCACGCUAUCAGAUGAGCCUAGGUCGGAUUAGCUAGUUGGUGGGGUAAAGGCCUACCAAGGCGACGAUCCGUAACUGGUCUGAGAGGAUGAUCAGUCACACUGGAACUGAGACACGGUCCAGACUCCUACGGGAGGCAGCAGUGGGGAAUAUUGGACAAUGGGCGAAAGCCUGAUCCAGCCAUGCCGCGUGUGUGAAGAAGGUCUUCGGAUUGUAAAGCACUUUAAGUUGGGAGGAAGGGCAGUAAGUUAAUACCUGGCUGUUUUGACGGUACCAACAGAAUAAGCACCGGCUAACUUCGUG
rnacentral:rRNA from 1 species